GAAAACCAAUCAAUGGGCAUUGGUCUACCCUUGGAGCUGCGACCUAUCCCAUAUCAAAUUUCUCCCACCACAGCAGAUUUGGAGACCAGACCUAAGAAUCACACCAACUUGGAUAACUGGAUAAUGAAUCAAAGAAUGCUAUGUGCUAUUUUGCAUUCAAAGCACAAAUGAAACAUAGUACUUCAGCCAUUGGCAGAUGUAUGCUGAAUCCCCACCACUCAGUUAAUCCGUGAAUGGAUAAAUAUAAACAAUUGAAACUUUAUGCCAUAUAUACAAACCCGCAAGAAGAACGAAGAAGCUG